rnacentral:rRNA from 1 species
UACGUAGGGAGCAAGCGUUGUCCGGAAUCAUUGGGCGUAAAGAGCGCGUAGGCGGUCCGGUAAGUCGGUUGUGAAAACUGGGGGCUCAACCCUCAGACGCCGACCGAUACUGUCGGGCUAGAGUCCGGAAGAGGCGAGUGGAAUUCCUGGUGUAGCGGUGAAAUGCGCAGAUAUCGGGAAGAACACCCGUGGCGAAGGCGGCACUCUGGGACGGUACUGACGCUGAGACGCGAAAGCGUGGGGAGCAAACAGG